UACAGAGGUCUCAAGCGUUUGUUCGGAAUCACUGGGCGUAAAGGGUGCGUAGGCCGCACGGUAAGUCAGAGGUGAAAUCCCGGAGCUCAACUUCGGAAUUGCCUCCGAUACUGCCGUGCUUGAGGACUGGAGAGGAGUCUGGAAUUCACAGUGGAGCAGUGAAAUGCGUAGAUAUUGUGAGGAACACUAGUGGCGAAGGCGAGACUCUGGACAGUUCCUGACGCUGAGGCACGAAGGCCAGGGGAGCAAACGGG
rnacentral:rRNA from 1 species